rnacentral:rRNA from 1 species
AGGAUGAACGCUGGCGGCGUGCUUAACACAUGCAAGUCGAACGGAAGUAGUAAUACUUCAGUGGCGCACGGGUGAGGAACACGUAGCUCAUCUGCCCUCAAGUGUGGGAUAACGGUCCGAAAAGGAUUGCUAAUACCGCAUAAGCUCCUGGGUUGUAGAGACCUGGGAGAAAAGGCGAAGCUCGCAAGAGCCAGUCGCUUGAGGAGGAGGCUGCGGCCCAUCAGGUAGUUGGUGCGGUAACGGCGCACCAAGCCAACGACGGGUAGGGGACCUGAGAGGGUGACCCCCCACACUGGGACUGAGACACGGCCCAGACUCCUACGGGAGGCAGCAGUGAGGAAUAUUGCCCAAUGGGCAAAGCCUGAGGCAGCGACACGCGUGGGUGAUGAAGGCCUUCGGUCGUAAAGCCCUUUUCUGUGUGACGAGAACGGACGGUAGACACAGGAAAAAGUCUCGGCUAACUACGUGCCAGCAGCCGCGGU